GGGGAUGUAGCUCAGUGGAAGAGCCUCUGCUUUCCGUGCAGAAGGUUCCAGGUUCAAUCCCUGCCAUCUCCA